GGGGAUGUAGCUCAGUUGGCUAGAGCACUUCGUUCGCAACGAAGGGGUCGGCGGUUCGAUUCCGCUCAUCUCCA
rnacentral:tRNA from 2 species